rnacentral:rRNA from 1 species
AAAGUGAAUAGUGAAACCUGGUGGCUCAACCAUACAGACUAUUACUCAAACUCACUAACUCGAGAAUGGUAGAGGUAACUGGAAUUUCUUGUGUAGGAGUGAAAUCCGUAGAUAUAAGAAGGAACACCAAUGGCGUAGGCAGGUUACUGGACCAUUUCUGACACUGAGGCACGAAAGCGUGGGGAGCGAACGGGAUUAGAUACCCCGGUAGUCCACGCCGUAAACGAUGGAUACUA